rnacentral:rRNA from 1 species
UCCCAGUUCGGACUGCAGCCUGCAACUCGGCUGCACGAAGCCGGAAUCGCUAGUAAUCGCGGAUCAGAAUGCCGCGGUGAAUACGUUCCCGGGUCUUGUACACACCGCCCGUCACACCAUGGGAGUCGGAAAUGCCCGAAGUCAGUGACCCAACCGUAAGGAGGGAGCUGCCGAAGGUGGAGCCGGUAACUGGGGUGAAGUCGUAACAAGGUACC